CGUGGGGCCUGAUGUGUGGUUCAAGCGAUGGGGUGACACAGUGGGGUAGCCAUGCCGCUUAGUGGAUUGUUGGUGUAAGCGUGUAGGUGAUGGUGUAGGUAAAUCCGCACUUGUUAUGCUGAGACGUGAUGCGUAGCCUUAAUUGGUGAAGUUGGUGAUCCCGUACUGUCGAGAAAAGCCUCUAGCGAUGUAUAUACUCGGCCCGUACCCCAAACCGACACAGGUAGUCAGGUUGAAAAUACUAAGGCGUUCGGGUGAACUGUGGUUAAGGAACUCGGCAAAAUGCCCCCGUAACUUCGGGAGAAGG
rnacentral:rRNA from 1 species